rnacentral:snoRNA from 1 species
AUUUUAAAAUGAUGAAAACAAUUUUUAUUUUACAGUUAUCCCUGUCUGAAUAGGAAAUUUAAAAAAAAACAUGUAACUCACAUAUGUCGAGAAUUGUAAAUCUGAGAAUAU